AUGAACGCUGGCGGCGUGCCUCAUACAUGCAAGUCGAGCGAACAGACGAGGAGCUUGCUCCUCUGACGUUAGCGGCGGACGGGUGAGUAACACGUUGAUAACCUACCUAUAAGACUGGGAUAACUUCGGGAAACCGGAGCUAAUACCGGAUAAUAUAUUGAACCGCAUGGUUCAAUAGUGAAAGACGGUUUUGCUGUCACUUAUAGAUGGAUCCGCGCCGCAUUAGCUAGUUGGUAAGGUAACGGCUUACCAAGGCAACGAUGCGUAGCCGACCUGAGAGGGUGAUCGGCCACACUGGAACUGAGACACGGUCCAGACUCCUACGGGAGGCAGCAGUAGGGAAUCUUCCGCAAUGGGCGAAAGCUUGACGGAGCAACGCCGCGUGAGUGAUGAAGGUCUUCGGAUCGUAAAACUCUGUUAUUAGGGAAGAACAAAUGUGUAAGUAACUAUGCACGUCUUGACGGUACCUAAUCAGAAAGCCACGGCUAACUACGUG
rnacentral:rRNA from 1 species